rnacentral:rRNA from 1 species
GAUGAACACUGGCGGCGUGCCUAAUACAUGCAAGUCGAGCGAACGGACGAGAAGCUUGCUUCUCUGAUGUUAGCGGCGGACGGGUGAGUAACACGUGGAUAACCUACCUGUAAGACUGGGAUAACUUCGGGAAACCGGAGCUAAUACCGGAUAAUAUUUUGAACCGCAUGGUUCAAAAGUGAAAGACGGUCUUGCUGUCACUUAUAGAUGGAUCCGCGCUGCAUUAGCUAGUUGGUAAGGUAACGGCUUACCAAGGCAACGAUGCAUAGCCGACCUGAGAGGGUGAUCGGCCACACUGGAACUGAGACACGGUCCAGACUCCUACGGGAGGCAGCAGUAGGGAAUCUUCCGCAAUGGGCGAAAGCCUGACGGAGCAACGCCGCGUGAGUGAUGAAGGUCUUCGGAUCGUAAAACUCUGUUAUUAGGGAAGAACAUAUGUGUAAGUAACUGUGCACAUCUUGACGGUACCUAAUCAGAAAGCCACGGCUAACUACGUGCCAGCAGCCGCGGUAAUACGUAGGUGGCAAGCGUUAUCCGGAAUUAUUGGGCGUAAAGCGCGCGUAGCGGUUUUUUAAGUCUGAUGUGAAAGCCCACGGCUCAACCGUGGAGGGUCAUUGGAAACUGGAAAACUUGAGUGCAGAAGAGGAAAGUGGAAUUCCAUGUGUAGCGGUGAAAUGCGCAGAGAUAUGGAGGAACACCAGUGGCGAAGGCGACUUUCUGGUCUGUAACUGACGCUGAUGUGCGAAAGCGUGGGGAUCAAACAGGAUUAGAUACCCUGGUAGUCCACGCCGUAAACGAUGAGUGCUAAGUGUUAGGGGGUUUCCGCCCCUUAGUGCUGCAGCUAACGCAUUAAGCACUCCGCCUGGGGAGUACGACCGCAAGGUUGAAACUCAAAGGAAUUGACGGGGACCCGCACAAGCGGUGGAGCAUGUGGUUUAAUUCGAAGCAACGCGAAGAACCUUACCAAAUCUUGACAUCCUUUGACAACUCUAGAGAUAGAGCUUUCCCCUUCGGGGGACAAAGUGACAGGUGGUGCAUGGUUGUCGUCAGCUCGUGUCGUGAGAUGUUGGGUUAAGUCCCGCAACGAGCGCAACCCUUAAGCUUAGUUGCCAUCAUUAAGUUGGGCACUCUAAGUUGACUGCCGGUGACAAACCGGAGGAAGGUGGGGAUGACGUCAAAUCAUCAUGCCCCUUAUGAUUUGGGCUACACACGUGCUACAAUGGACAAUACAAAGGGCAGCGAAACCGUGAGGUCAAGCAAAUCCCAUAAAGUUGUUCUCAGUUCGGAUUGUAGUCUGCAACUCGACUACAUGAAGCUGGAAUCGCUAGUAAUCGUAGAUCAGCAUGCUACGGUGAAUACGUUCCCGGGUCU